AGUUCCCUCCGUUUUCGUGCCUUCCUGGCAUUCGUGCAUUCAACCAGUAUAGGCUGCGUGGUGACGUCAGGACAUUCUGCAAAGGGAUGGGUGUCUGUCCACAGCACCUCAGUGGAAACUUGGCCACGAGCCAAAAGCUGCCCAUGAAGGCCAGUAAACACUCUGUGAUGGAUCUCCUUCUCUGCACUCAUGUGCCAAACACAAUGUAAACUUGUUUCAGUCACUUCAUUCAGUCACUCACUCUUUUUUUCCCCUUCUGUUGCACAUGAUUUCAACUUGAGUUGCACUGCAUCUAAUGUACAGUACAAAUAUACCAUUUAAUGAC